GCCGGGCGUGGUGGCGCAUGCCUGUAAUCCCAGCUACCUGGGAGGCUGAGGCAGGAGAAUUGCUUGAACCCGGGAGGUAGAGACUGCAGUGAGCUGAGAUCAUGCCACUACACUCCAGCCUGGGUGACAGGGUGAAACUCUGUCUCCA
rnacentral:SRP_RNA from 2 species